rnacentral:rRNA from 1 species
AUUGAACGCUGGCGGCAGGCCUAACACAUGCAAGUCGAACGGUAGCACAGAGAGCUUGCUCUCGGGUGACGAGUGGCGGACGGGUGAGUAAUGUCUGGGAAACUGCCCGAUGGAGGGGGAUAACUACUGGAAACGGUAGCUAAUACCGCAUAACGUCGCAAGACCAAAGUGGGGGACCUUCGGGCCUCACACCAUCGGAUGUGCCCAGAUGGGAUUAGCUAGGAGGUGGGGUAAUGGCUCACCUAGGCGACGAUCCCUAGCUGGUCUGAGAGGAUGACCAGCCACACUGGAACUGAGCCACGGUCCAGACUCCUACGGGAGGCAGCAGUGGGGAAUAUUGCACAAUGGGCGCAAGCCUGAUGCAGCCAUGCCGCGUGUAUGAAGAAGGCCUUCGGGUUGUAAAGUACUUUCAGCGGGGAGGAAGGCGGUGAAGUUAAUAACUUCACCGAUUGACGUUACCCGCAGAAGAAGCACCGGCUAACUCCGUGCCAGCCGCCGCAGUAA